CUACAGCUAUGCGUCCUAAAAGAUUCUGCCUCCUUUGUCCUCGUUUUUCUCGUUUACCCUCCGCUGCCUCGUUGCCUCCGCUUUGCUUCCUCUCUCUGUGCUUCCCGCGGCUGGAGGACGUCCGCGCUCGCUUGGUCUGGCCGUCGUUCCGGCCGCUCUCUUCCUCUUCCCCUGCCGCGUUGCUCCGUCUUCUAGAUCUCAAGGGUGUUCUCGUGUUUUAGUCUACUCAGGAUCUUCCUCCCUCCGGCUCGCCCACUGCUGCACUGGCGGGGCGAGCCCCCGCCGGCCGUCCUCCAGUCCUGUGGUUUCCUGCAUCCUUCCUGGAUUCGGGUCGCGGUGCCCACGGUGCAGCUUCUGCUUCUUCUGAUGCCGUCUUGUUCCUGUAAGUUUCCAUGAAUUUGUACUUCAUUUCACCUAUGUAUGCGUACAUUGUUUUUUCUUUUUUUGUCAACACAUAGUUCUUUUGCGGUCGUUUGAUUUGCGCAGGGUGUGUUGACGGUCUUUAACUAAUUAGGGAAAAGGACCUAUAUGCAAUCAACUUAGGGUUUUAUUUGACAGAAUUCCACGAGUUUUGGUGAUUGUCUAUUUCUACAUAAAAUUAUCAUGAAACAUGGAGGAAAGGCCACACGUCGGGUUUACAUAGAGAUAUUAACGUGUGCGGCAAUUUUCUAUCAUCUAGAAAACUACAGAAGCCACGGGAACGAGUGGGAGGCCGAGCGGGCCCGGGGGCUGGGCCCCCGCCCUCCCCUCUUGGACGCCCGCCCAGGUGUUUCGGCCAAUCAGGCCCCGCCUCGCGGAUCAUGCUCCACCGACCUACGGAUUAAGGAAAACCGUGCAAUUAAGGUCGGUUUGAUCCGACGGCCCACAUUCAUUUGAAGGGGCUAUAUAAGCAUGCCCCUAGCCCCUGGAGGAGAUAUCUCUUCUACGGAAUUAAAGCUACGGUUUCAAUUAUUCAUCUAUAACACCUCGAAAUUUCUAUUUCAGGUUGUUAUUAGAAAAUACUAAAUAAAAUGAAUGGUUUUAAUAUAUGGAUAAAAUUUGCCAACAAUAGUUUAGAUUUCUAUAUAUUUGUAUCAAAGAAAAAUAGUGCUUUUCAAAUAUUUUGGAAUUAAUUAGACGAGAUUUAGUUGAUGUGAAGCUUCCUUGUUGCUUGAGUUUAUUGUUUUUGUGUGUGCUAAGAUUUUUAAAACACGUUUAGACGUUGUCCGAUCCUUUUCGAGAAUUUUCUAGACUUUUUCGGGCUUUUUCCCAAUUUUCCUAGAACAAAAUCUAAUUUUUGGACACUCUAAAAUAUUUUUUUAUGGACGCCAAAAACUUUAUUUGCAUCGAUCAACACUCAAUAUAUCUCUAAAAGUUUUCUUUAAUUUUUAGAAUUUUGGAAAUAUUUUUCAGGGAUUUAAAAUAAUUUCCGCUUUUUCUAGAAUUAUUUUGGAACUGAAAAUAAUUUAUUUAAAAUCCCGAAAUUAAUAUUUUCGAAACUUUUCCAAACCCUAGAUCUAUAUAUAUGCCGUCGUAGCCCUCGACGCGCUAGUUCCAGAAGUACGAGCGCUUUUCUAAGCCGCCACUUGUAGCUCCGCAAAUCUAUCGCCGAAGUUUUGGAUGUUUUUCCCGGCGAACUUUUCCGUCGAACGUUCGGUGAGUGUUUCCGGCCGCCUCGGUCAUCCCCUGCGAAAACCGCCGCCGUCGUGAGGUUCGUGUCGUCGUCCUCUACACCGGCACGCCAUUUGUUUCACGAAUCCAUACUCGUUCGUCGUAUCUCUUAUAUUUAUUUGUCUUCUCCGACGAGCAGCAUCCAUGGCCGGCCCUCUCUUUCGCCUCUGGCGCACGGCUCGGCUCGGUUUCCCCCUGCGUCCAACCCCACACCUCACCCUCACGGUCGCGCCGCCAUCCGGGCAACCGGCGCCCCCUUCGCGGCCCUCUCCCGUGCCCAACACGCUGCAGGGCAGCAGCGCUGCACCGCCUGUGGCCGCCCGGCCACUACCAUGGGUGCCGAGCAAGGCCCUGCCCCGGCUCCGCGUGUGGGUCACCACGGCCACGUGCUGCCGUGCCGCUGAGCUGCCGAGGCCCCUGCACGCCUGCGCGAGCCUCUGGAUGAACGCAGCACGCAGCAGCAGUCACCCAUGAUGGGUUACGAACGUGACCAAAGGUAGGAGACAACUUAUUUACAAGUUUGCCACUGGUCAUUAAUCCUAACCCAUUUAAUCGUUCUGUUUCAUUCCGUUUCAAUUGCGUUAGUUUCGUAACGUCGCGCUCUACGCAGUAGUGCUAACUUUUAUUAUGUUACAUAUUUUUUUCUAUAUUUAGUUGAAUAUUAGAUUAAUUAAUGUAUGUACCUAAUUUUAUAAUUAAAAGCACUAAUUUUAUAAUUAAAAGCACUAUAGAGUUAAAAUCAUGUUUUCUAUUGUUUGUGAUCGUGGCAACAUAAAGACCUCGAUUGUAUCCCCAUUAAUAUAAAGACCUAAAGAUAAGUCUUCAUCUAUCUUGUCAAUCCUUUUUGUCAUCAAUCUUAAUCUUUUUGAUCGUUGUGUGCCAACCUUUGGUCCUUGAUCUUACAUCUCAUAGUUUUGGAAUCAAUGAAGCGUGAAGACUAUAAUUCAAUCUUUGUCUUCCUUUUUAAUCUUUGACAAUUCCUAAUAUUUUCAUCAUAUAUCUUCUAAAUCUUGAAUCAAGAAAUUAUGAGCACUGAUUUAUCGUUUAUAUCAUUGAUUGCUAAUCUUCACUCCUUAUCUUUACACCUUAUAAUGUGAAAACCUAGUGAUCAACCUUUAUCUAUCUUUUCAACUUCCUUUUAUCUUGCUUUUCAACCUAUGCGGAUCUUCAAUCCGUUGACCUCAUGCCAUAAACUCUAAAUCAAUCUUGAGAAUCGAUCUUUGAAUUCUUUUUCAUUUUUUAUCCCUAAUUCCUAAAUCAUAUCUUGUCAAAAGUCUUAAUACAAUCUUGAUGAUCUCCUUGGACUAUCUCUCUAGCCUCUUCAAAUCACGGGACGAGAUUUAUGUUAAGUGGGGUAGAUCUAUAACACCCCGAAAUUUCUAUUUCAGGUUGUUAUUAGAAAAUACUAAAUAAAAUGAAUGGUUUUAAUAUGUGGAUAAAAUUUGCCAACAAUAGUUUAGAUUUCUAUAUAUUUUUAUUAAAGAAAAAUGGUGCUUUUCAAAUAUUUUGGAAUUCAUUAGACGAGCUUUAGUUGAUGUGAAGCUUGCUUGUUGCUUGAGUUUAUUGUUUUUGUGUGUGCUAAGAUUUUUAAAACACGUUUAGACGUAGUCCGAUCCUUUCCGAGAAUUUUCUAGACUUUUUCGGGCUUUUUCCCAAUUUUCCUAGAACAAAAUCUAAUUUUUGGACACUUUAAAAUAUUUUUUUAUGGACGCCAAAAAAUUUAUUUGCAUCGAUCAACACUCAAUAUAUCUCUAAAAGUUUUCUUUAAUUUUCAGAAUUUUGGAAAUAUUUUUCAGAGAUUUAAAAUAAUUUCCGCUUUUUCUAGAAUUAUUUUGGAACCGAAAAUAAUUUAUUUAAAAUCCCAAAAUUAAUAUUUUUGAAACUUUUCCAAACCCUAGACCUAUAUAUAUGCCGUCGUAGCCCUCCACGCGCUGGUUCCAGAAGUACGAGCGCUUUUCUAAGCCGCCAUUUGUAGAAGUUUUGGAUAUCUUUCCCGGCGAAUGUUCGGCGAGCGUUUCCGGCCGCCUCGGUCAUCCCCUGCGAAAACCGCCGCCAUCGUGAGGUUCGUGUCGUCGUCCUCUACACCGGCACGCCAUUUGUUUCACGAAUCCAUACUCGUUCGUCGUAUCUCUGAUAUUUAUUUGUCUUCUCCGACGAGCAGCAUCCAUGGCCGGCCCUCUCUUUCGCCUCUGGUGCACGGCUCCGCUCGGUUUCCUCCCUGCGCCCAACCCCGCACCUCACCCUCACGCUCGCGCCGCCAUCCGGGCAUCCGGCGCCCCCUUCGCGGCCCUCUCCCGUGCCCAGCACGCUGCAGGGCAGCAGCGCUGCACCGCCUGUGGCCGCCCGGCCACUACCGUGGGUGCCGAGCAAGCCCCUGCCCCCGCUCCGCGUGUGGGUCACCACGGCCACGUGCUGCCGCGCCGCUGAGCGGCCGAGGCCCCUGCACGCCUGCGCGAGCCUCUGGAUGAACGCAGCAGCAGUCACCCAUGAUGGGUUACGAACGUGACCUCUGGAUGAACGCAGCAGCAGUCACCCAUGAUGGGUUACGAACGUGACCAAAGUAGGAGACAGCUUACAGCUUAUUUAAAGUUUGCCAAUGGUCAUUAAUCCUUCCCCAUUUAAUCGUUCUGUUUGAUUCCGUUUCAAUUGUGUUAGUUUCGUAACGUCGCGCUCUACGCAGUAGUGCUAACUUUUAUUAUAUUACAUAUUUUUUUUCUAUAUUUAGUUGAAUAUUAGAUUAAUUAAUGUAUGUACCUAAUUUUAUAAUUAAAAGCACUAAUUUUAUAAUUAAAAGCACUAUAGAGUUAAAAUCAUGUUUUCUAUUGUUUUGUGAUCGUGGCAACGUAAAUGACUUGUUAGCAAUACUGUUUUUCAUGUCCCAUGUUUAUAAAUAUAUUUAGUUUAAUUAAUAUUUAUUGAGUGCCAUUUUUAAUUAUUAAAAAAACAAUUUAGGUUUACACUUCGGUAUUUUCAUAAUCUAAUAUUAACUUGAUUAAUGUUAACCUAAAUAUUUAUUAAUUAUAAUUCUUUUAGUUAGACAUAAAGUAUAUAAUUAAUUUGUUUAAUAUUUAUUUAAUGUCUUUUUGGAUUAAAAGUAACUUAUGUCUAUAAUUUAGAUCUUUUAUAAAUAAAUAAAUGCUAACAAUAUUAAUAUCAAUUUAAAGGAUUAUUUAUUAAUUAUAACUUGUUUAGUAUAAAUGGAAGCAUGUCAUGAUUCGAUUAGUUGCUCUCACUUGCUUUAUGCUUCCUAAAUUAUAAAUAUUUAAAUGACUUAAAUGAUAUAUAUACCUUUUAUUUAUAAAUAGAAUAUAACUGGAACUAUACUUCGUCUUUUAUAAUUUGUUUAAUUCUAUUUUAUGAUAUUUCUCUUAAAUAUCUAUCACCACAUUUCAUCUAAUAAAAUACGAUCAGCGUAUAGUCUGUCUUCUCUCCGUUUUGUUGCAAGCCCCGAUAGUCGUGUCCGUUUAACGAUAGCUCUGUUCUCAAUCCAUCACGAUCGUAGCAAUAAGCCGUGUCGUUUAGUGCGCUCUUUCUAAGCUUUUCUUUUGAUUGUCGUUUGUUCUUAGUCGUGAUUGUUUGUUUGUGUUGCUUGGUUGCUGCGAGUAGAAGAACCGUGGUUCGACAACAGUGAAGACCAGGAGCUGAGGACCGACAAUCGAAGUAGAAGCUAAGAGAUCAGAAGAAAGAAGCUAAAGAAUUCUGAGCAGAUAUACACUGGGAAUUAAGGCAAGUGCAGACACCCUUUGAUCAUAUUGUACAUAUGAACUUUAAAUACAUUUACUUUCCAUUGCAUGUGUCUUAAUACUGCAAACCCUAAGGACAUGACUAGUCUUCUACUAUAUUCCUUGUACUCCUGGGUUUUAUACAUGGGUAGAAUAGAGAACUGUAGUUAUGCUUAGCUGCUCUACUCAUCUAAUCUAUAUAAUAAUAAAAGCAAUAAUCUUGUCUAAUGAAUUCUUCAAUGAUGAAUAAUGCUCCAAUGGUGGAUAAUGGUCACUUUAGUGACGGAGAUGUUGCGGUGCUUGCGAGCAUCGUGGUUUGUUGAGAAAAGGGGGAGCGGGUACUGUUGGUUGGCUCGGUUGCCGAGCGUACCCGUCUCUGCUCUCCAUAAGGACUUAGUCAUGGAGCGCCCCCCUGGGACAUACAGUGUAGCUCCAAGCUAUAUGGCUCUGGCUUGACUAAUUAGCAGGACCUCCACUAGUAGGGUGUUACUUUCCGGGUAGGCGUGAGGAAGUAACUUGGGUAAUGAAUAUUAAGUUGUCGGUUGAUCGGUAUGCCAUGGCUAUGGGUAUCGACUGCCGAGCGCCCCGGCCAAAACUUACGAGUGGCAUCCUAUUAGUUGGACCCUGUGAAAGGUCUCGUAGUGAAACCCUGCCUGCUCACCUUGGUAGUGUUUUGGGGAGUCGCGACCCCGGGCAAAUGGGAAUCACGACUUGGAGUGAAAGUGCACAACUCUGCAGAGUGUAAAACUGAUAUAUCAGUCGUGCUCACGGUCACGAGCGGCCCAGACCCUCACAUGAUGAGCAAAUUGGAAUCACAUGGAACUUGGAGGCGAAACUUGGUUGAGGUUGCUACCUCGUGCUUUGGCGGAAUGGCUAUUCCGUGUUGGCAGGAUUGCUAUCCUGUGUUCUUAAUUGGGAUUGCUAUCCCAUGACCUUAAUGGGUUGCUACCCUGAGUUACUAUCUGAGGUUGCUACCUCGGUAAUAAUAAUAAUGAUGAUGUUUAAUAAAAUGGUUAAUCUACUUCCAUCUAAUUAAGGGUUGGGAUGCUUUACUCAUAUUUAGUAAUAGAUUGUUUUAAUAAAAGAGUUGUAAUAAAAGUUUACCAACUUAAAAAGCUCACCUGCAGUUAAACAGUGUCAGCUUUUCCUUUGAUUAAGCCUUGCAUGUCAUUAUACUUUCCACCUGUACUUGUUGAGUUCGACAUGAACUCACCCUUGCUAUUUCCCCCCACCCCCAGUGUGUAGUAAAGUGCUGCUCAG
rnacentral:lncRNA from 1 species